rnacentral:tRNA from 1 species
AAUGAAGUGCCUGAUUAAAGGAUUAUCUUGAUAGGAUAAAUAAAGUAAAUUCAUUUUACCUUCAUUA